rnacentral:rRNA from 1 species
AUUGAACGCUGGCGGCAGGCCUAACACAUGCAAGUCGAGCGAGCGGCGGACGGGUGAGUAAUGUCUGGGGACUGCCCGAUAGCGGGGGUUAACUCCUGGAAACGAUUGCUACUCCCGCCUACUGUCUACUACCCCAUAUGGGAUUACCUAGUGGGUAAGGUAAUGGAUUACCUAGGCGACGAUCCCUAGCUGGUAUGCGAGGAUGAUCAGCCACACUGGGACGUAGAAAGGGGCCAGACUCCUAGGGAGGCAGCAGUGGGGAAUAUUUCACAAUGGGCGCAAGCCUGAGGCAGCAAGGCGGCGUGUAGGAAGAAGGCCUUAGGGUGGUAAAGUACUUUCAGGCGGGAGGCGUUACCGACAGAAGAAGCACCGGCUAACUCCGUGCCAGCAGCCGCGGUAAUAC